CGAGUAUCGUGUGCGCCACUUUGUUGAUUAACCAUGUCUUUUCCAGGUUCGGUCUGCCUCAAAGAAUUGAGUCAGACAGAGGUAGUCACUUUACCAGCGAAGUAAUGGCUAAGAUGUGGAACAUUCUAGGUGUUAAGCGAAAGCUACAUAUUGCAUACCGCGCUGCGUCUAGCGGGGGGGUAGAGCGAUAUAACCAGUCUAUCGUUAAUAUUCUGAAGAAAUAUGUUAAGGAGUCUGGUAAAGACUGGGACAUUAAAUCGGCCCUAGUUUUAAUGGCGAUUAGAGCUACACCUAGCACUGCUACCAAAUUGUCACCUUUUGAAUUGAUGACAGGAAGAAAGAUGGUUUUACCACAGCAUUUACUAUAUCGUACUUCAGAUCAUAACUUGAUCAAUGCUGCCACUACGCAUCAGUAUAUCGAAGAUUUGCGCAAG